GUGGGGAAUAUUGCGCAAUGGGGGAAACCCUGACGCAGCGACGCCUCGUGAGUGAUGAAGGCCCUCGGGUUGUAAAGCUCUGUCAGAUGGGAAGAAACGGGGAAUGGCUAAUAUCCAUUCUCUUUGACGGUACCAUCAGAGGAAGCACCGGCUAACUUCGUGCCAGCAGCCGCGGUAAUACGAAGGGUGCAAGCGUUAUUCGGAAUCACUGGGCGUAAAGAGUGUGUAGGUGGUAAUUUAAGUUUGAUGUGAAAUCCUUAGGCCUAACCUAAGAACUGCAUUGAAAACUAGAUUACUAGAGUUCGGUAGAGGAUGGUGGAAUUCCUGGUGUAGAGGUGAAAUUCGUAGAUAUCAGGAGGAAUACCGGUGGCGAAGGCGACCAUCUGGACCGACACUGACACUGAGACACGAAAGCGUGGGUAGCAAACAGG
rnacentral:rRNA from 1 species